AUAUGUGCUGCCAGGCACUCAAAGACACUGACUCUCAACUUGAGGCAGAAACUAAGCAUAUUUGUGCAGGGAAAUCCAUGCCUCAUGCCGCUCUGCAGCCUGCUCUGGGUGCUCCUGGCCUUCACCUUCUCUGGAUCUGGUGUGGCGCAGAAUGUUAUUCAAGACCAGCCAAACACAUCCGGUCAACUGGGACAGUCAGUCACCCUGAACUGUCGGUAUGGAACAACCUGGAGCUAUUACUACAUGUUUUGGUACAAGCUGCUUCCCAGUGGAGAGAUGAUUUACCUUAUUAGUCAGGCUUCUUCUGGCCAGAAUGCAAGGAAUGGCCGCUACUCUGUAAAUUUUCAGAAAGCUCGUAAAUCCAUCAGCCUCACCAUUUCAGACUUACAGCUGGAAGAUUCUGCCGAGUAUUUCUGUGCUCUCUGGGAGCUCACAGUGCUUGAAGUAAUGGGAAAAGCUAAACAAAAACCCCAGAGUUUAAUAAAAGAGAGCUUCCCUGCUGCAGAACUCCAGCUGAAAUAUGCACCUGCAGAUCCCAGACCAGAAAUGGUAGUUGUGUGGUUGCUUAAUCUGUGGUCUGGAAGUUCCUUUUAAGUCACUUAGGAACAGAUGUCCAAACUAACUUUCUAGUAAUAUGUUCUCAGUCUUAAUUUUUUAAAGUUUAUAUCAAUCAUACAGAACAUGUGCAAAGUUGUCUAAAUUUGAAAACUUGCCCUGUAAUAAUUUAAUGUGGCAACUGCACCUAAAAAAAUCUCACAUCAUAAAUCUGGGUUUAAUUUUCAG